UACGUAGGUGGCAAGCGUUGUCCGGAUUUGCUGGGCGUAAAGAGCGCGCAGGCGGUCGUUCAAGUCGCGUGUGAAAGCCCCCGGCUCAACUGGGGAGGGUCACGCGAUACUGAUCGACUCGAAGGCAGGAGAGGGUAGUGGAAUUCCCGGUGUAGUGGUGAAAUGCGUAGAUAUCGGGAUGAACACCAGUGGCGAAGGCGACUACCUGGCCUGUUCUUGACGCUGAGGCGCGAAAGCUAGGGGAGCAAACGGG
rnacentral:rRNA from 1 species